rnacentral:lncRNA from 7 species
AUUAACAAAGACAUGUGUAUCCAGUUAACCUUUUUAAAAACUCAACCAUCUUCAUUUCCAGGUAUUAAUUGUACCUAUAUAUUGAAACCUAAUUGGUACUUCAUCUGAUUGCAGUUUUCUAAAAAACUUAAUUUCAUUUUACUGCCAGACUCCACAUAUUAGAUUAUUAGAAGACUAGAACAGAUUGUUUUGUCGAGCUCAGUGGAAAGAAUCAGCAAUCACAAGAUGCUGUCUUGGCCAAUGGUUGACGGAUGCCAUAUUUGCAUGCACAUUGGUAUAUGAUGUAGUUAACCUCUUUUCUCUUUAGUUACUAUAUGCUCAUGAAAAGAUUGAAGGUUUUCAGAAUAUAGAGAUAAUGUGGUUUAGUUUUGCACUCGAUCUGUGUAUACCUGCAUUAUAUUGUGCUUGAUU